rnacentral:rRNA from 1 species
AUUGAACGCUGGCGGCAUGCCUUACACAUGCAAGUCGAACGGCAGCACGGGAGCAAUCCUGGUGGCGAGUGGCGAACGGGUGAGUAAUAUAUCGGAACGUGCCCAGUCGUGGGGGAUAACGUAGCGAAAGCUACGCUAAUACCGCAUACGAUCUAUGGAUGAAAGCGGGGGAUCGCAAGACCUCGCGCGAUUGGAGCGGCCGAUAUUAGAUUAGGUAGUUGGUGAGGUAAAGGCUCACCAAGCCGACGAUCUGUAGCUGGUCUGAGAGGACGACCAGCCACACUGGGACUGAGACACGGCCCAGACUCCUACGGGAGGCAGCAGUGGGGAAUUUUGGACAAUGGGCGCAAGCCUGAUCCAGCAAUGCCGCGUGCAGGAUGAAGGCCUUC